CUCCCGGAUGCCUCUUCUGCAGGUCGGCACUGACCCCUGGCCGCCCCCACCUCCCCAGAUUUACCAAGUUAUUUCUAAUUAAACCUAAACUAACACUUCAGCCCCAACACCUCUGGGAGCCCAAGCCCCGCUCCUGUGGACGCCUUGAGCCACCACCUCCCGAGAGUUCACAGCCCAUCUUGUCUCCAGCCUGUGCUGGCACCGCCUUGCUCGAGUCUGCAUGACCUGCUCUCACAGGAGGACUCUUCACACGCCCUGCCCUGAGGUCUUCCCUGAGCAGUGCCUACUCUUUUCUGGGACAAGGCAGUGUCACAGUGCUGCUUGCGUAAGUACCUCUUGCCCUCUCACAUUCCCAAAGUUCAGCAUCCCUAUUCUUCUAACUCGCCAGCUGCCCUGUCCUGUGCCUGGGUGGGUGGCUGCCUUGAGGAGUGGAACUGCUUCAGGGAUCAGUGCAAAGUGUUCCCUGUUGGGACAAAAACCUCUCAGAGGAGGUAAGGGCCCACUGGCCACUUUUGAGCUGCUAGAACAAAUUUCCUAAGAUGAUUGAGUAGCUAGAAAUAGAGACCAAAAGAAUUGAGUUGAACACAGAGAAUGAAAUAAAGGAGCUUCACUGCCCAGCACAGGAAAAGCAGAAUACCAGAGAGUGAAGUUGUCCCCAUGUAAAGAAUCACUUAUGGAUUCAUACCAAAUAUCCGCAAAAUAUUCUCCUCAGAACUGGCCUUGACAGCCUUACAUGUGUGAUGGAAGAAGACCUUCCUCUGGUAGCAUGAGAAGUGGCCUUCUUUUUUAUGCUGGCACUGCACAGCCCAGCUUUCCCACACAUGCCCAGUGUGAUUGUGUCAACCAAGGGAGAUGAACUCAACCUCCCAUUGGACCUUCUCUGCAGCAGUCCAGCCCCAACAAGCCACUAACAACCACUGCUCCAUUUACAUCUCUGUAGUUUUGGUAUUUCCAGGAUGUCAUGUAAGUGACAUCAAACAGUAUGUGCUCUCUUCAGAUUGGCUGUUUUCAUUAAGGAAUAUGCAUUUGAGACUCAUCAUGUCGUUGCAUAGUCUGUUCAUUAAAUUCUAUGGCUUAGUGCUGUUUUGCAUGUAGAUGCAUCCUGGUUUAUUUCCUCGUUCCUUAUUUGGCCAUUAUGAAGAAAGCUGCAAUCCCUAAUUGUGUGCUUGCAUUUGUUUGGACAUAAUUUGUCAUGGAAUUGACCUGGUAGCAUUUGAUCUCAAUGUCCAUUGGGUAUUCCUAUGUGCUGAUAUGUGGUAGUUUUUAUACUAGCAAUGAGAAUACUCCAUGUGCUUAUGGAAUUACAAAAAUGUAUGUAUAUAGACACUUUGUAGCCCAUUUUAAAUGGUUAUCGUGUUUGUGUGCAUAAAAACCAGUUUU